UGCUGACUAUCCAUGCAUUAUACCCAUUUUUCAGGGUUGUAUGUAUAGAUAACCUACUGUUUAGAAAGGACUUAUAUGAAGACUGAAAUACAAAUGGUUUUUCCAGCAGAGAAAGGAAAUGGGUCUCAAGCCUCUCAUUGCGUGACUCCUCUGCACAUGCCGAC